AUUUCACACUGCCGAGAAAAGCCUCUAGAUAGAAAAUAGGUGCCCGUACCGCAAACCGACACAGGUAGUCAAGAUGAGAAUUCUAAGGUGAGCGAGCGAACUCUCGUUAAGGAACUCGGCAAAAUGACCCCGUAACUUCGGGAGAAGGGGUGCUCUUUAGGGUUAACGCCCAGAAGAGCCGCAGUGAAUAGGCCCAAGCGACUGUUUAUCAAAAACACAGGUCUCUGCUAAACCGUAAGGUGAUGUAUAGGGGCUGACGCCUGCCCGGUGCUGGAAGGUUAAGAGGAGUGGUUAGCUUCUGCGAAGCUACGAAUCGAAGCCCCAGUAAACGGCGGCCGUAACUAUAACGGUCCUAAGGUAGCGAAAUUCCUUGUCGGGUAAGUUCCGACCCGCACGAAAGGCGUAACGAUUUGGGCACUGUCUCAACGAGAGACUCGGUGAAAUCAUAGUACCUGUGAAGAUGCAGGUUACCCGCGACAGGACGGAAAGACCCCGUGGAGCUUUACUGUAGCCUGAUAUUGAAAUUCGGCACAGCUUGUACAGGAUAGGUAGGAGCCUUUGAAACGUGAGCGCUAGCUUACGUGGAGGCGCUGGUGGGAUACUACCCUAGCUGUGUUGGCUUUCUAACCCGCACCACUUAUCGUGGUGGGAGACAGUGUCAGGCGGGCAGUUUGACUGGGGCGGUCGCCUCCUAAAAGGUAACGGAGGCGCUCAAAGGUUCCCUCAGAAUGGUUGGAAAUCAUUCAUAGAGUGUAAAGGCAUAAGGGAGCUUGACUGCGAGACCUACAAGUCGAGCAGGGUCGAAAGACGGACUUAGUGAUCCGGUGGUUCCGCAUGGAAGGGCCAUCGCUCAACGGAUAAAAGCUACCCCGGGGAUAACAGGCUUAUCUCCCCCAAGAGUUCACAUCGACGGGGAGGUUUGGCACCUCGAUGUCGGCUCAUCGCAUCCUGGGGCUGUAGUCGGUCCCAAGGGUUGGGCUGUUCGCCCAUUAAAGCGGUACGCGAGCUGGGUUCAGAACGUCGUGAGACAGUUCGGUCCCUAUCCGUCGUGGGCGUAGGAAAUUUGAGAGGAGCUGUCCUUAGUACGAGAGGACCGGGAUGGACAUACCUCUGGUGUACCAGUUGUCGUGCCAACGGCAUAGCUGGGUAGCUAUGUGUGGACGGGAUAAGUGCUGAAAGCAUCUAAGCAUGAAGCCCCCCUCAAGAUGAGAUUUCCCAACUUCGGUUAUAAGAUCCCUCAAAGAUGAUGAGGUUAAUAGGUUCGAGGUGGAAGCAUGGUGACAUGUGGAGCUGACGAAUACUAAUCGAUCGAAGACUUAAUCAAAA
rnacentral:rRNA from 1 species